AUAAGCUAUUAAGGGCUAAUGGUGGAUGCCUUGACUGUAAGAGGCGAUGAAGGACGUACUAGACUGCGAUAAGCUUUGGGGAGCCGUCAAGAGGCUUUGAUCCAGAGAUUUCCGAAUGGGACAACCCAGCAUAGUGUGAACUAUGUUACUUCAUUUAUGAAGAGCGAACGAAGCGAAGUGAAACAUCUCAGUAGCUUCAGGAAGAGAAAUCAAUUGAGAUUCCGUUAGUAGCGGCGAGCGAAAGCGGAUUAGGGCGGCUAUAUUUAGCAUUUUGGUUAGUAGAAGUUGUUGGAAUGCAACGUCAUAGAGAGUGAAAGCCUCGUAUACGAAAACCUUAAUGUGGAACUAAGAUAGCGAACGAGUAGGUCGGAACACGUGAUAUUUUGACUGAAUAUGGGGGGACCAUCCUCCAACCCUAAAUACUACUUACAGAUCGAUAGUGAACAAGUACCGUGAGGGAAAGGUGAAAAGUACCCCAGUGAGGGGAGUGAAAUAGUACCUGAAACCAUUAGCUUACAAUCAUUCGGAGCCGUAUUGUUUAUCAACGGUGACGGACUGCCUUUUGCAUAAUGAGCCUGCGAGUUGUGGUCAGUGGCAAGGUUAAGCCAAGUGCGAAGCCGUAGCGAAAGCGAGUCUUAAUAGGGCGUCGCCCCCACACUUGUUAAUAUUUUAUACUUUGAAGAAUUAUCUUGAAGAAAUAUUAGUAUAGUUUUUUGAAGUGAUAUUUUUAUAUCGCUGAUAAAAAUAGACUGAUAUUUUAAAAAGAGAAUUUUAUUAGAAAAGUAUAUUGUUAAGUUACAUUUUAAAUAAUCAUCUUGAAUAAAAACUUUUAUCACUUUACAAUAGUAAAGUUUCAAAAACUGUUUUAUCCAAUCUAAUCAUUUAAAAGUGUAAUCAAAGCAUAUAAUAUUAAUAAGUGUGGGGGCAUAUAGUCACUGGCUGCAGACCCGAAACUAAGUGAUCUAUCCAUGAGCAGGUUGAAGCUGGUGUAAGAGCCAGUGGAGGACCGAACCCGCUGACGUUGAAAAGUCAUGGGAUGACUUGUGGAUAGGGGUGAAAGGCCAAUCAAACUUAGUGAUAGCUGGUUCUCUCCGAAAUAUAUUUAGGUAUAGCGUCAUGUAGUAGCAUAUAGGGGUAGAGCACUGAAUGGGCUAGGGCUGCUUACCGCGGUACCAAACCCUAUCAAACUUCGAAUACUAUAUGUGUAAUCAUGGCAGUCAGGCGUAGGGUGAUAAAAUCCUAUGUCGAGAGGGGAACAACCCAGACUACCAGCUAAGGUCCCAAAGUCAAAUUUAAGUGGAAAACGAUGUGAAAUUACUGUGACAACCAGGAGGUUGGCUUAGAAGCAGCCACCCUUUAAAGAAAGCGUAACAGCUCACUGGUCUAGUGAUUUUGCGCGGAAAAUAUAACGGGGCUAAAAUUUGCACCGAAGCUGUAGAUUCAGUAUUUAUACUGUCUGGUAGGAGAGCGUUCUAUUUAGCAUUGAAGCCAUACCGGUGAGGAGUGGUGGAGCAAAUAGAAGUGAGCAUGCAGGCAUGAGUAGCGAUAAAAAAAGUGAGAAUCUUUUUCGCCGAAAACCCAAGGUUUCCUACGCGAUGCUCGUCAUCGUAGGGUUAGUCGGGUCCUAAGACAAGUCCGAAAGGGGUAGUCGAUGGCAAAUUGGUUAAUAUUCCAAUACCAACAUUGUAUUGUUUGAGUGAUGGGGGGACGCAUAGAGUUAAUUGAGGUCACUGAUGGAAUAGUGGCUCGAAGGAUGUAGGUUGAUAAGUAGGAAAAUCCGCUUGUCGUGUAACCGAGAUCUUACAGGCUGAACAAUAUCUUCGGAUAGCGUUUAGAAUCAAUGAUACUGUCGUGCCGAGAAAAGCCUCUAAACGAGAUAUAAUGUUGCCCGUACCGUAAACCGACACAGGUGGGUGAGAUGAGUAUUCUAAGGCGCGUGGAAGAACCCUGGUUAAGGAACUCUGCAAACUAGCACCGUAACUUCGGAAUAAGGUGUGCCUACUUUUGUAUAUGGAUUUACUCCAGAAAGCGAAAGAGGUUGCAACAAAGAGUCCCUCCCGACUGUUUAUCAAAAACACAGCACUUUGCUAACUCGUAAGAGGAUGUAUAAGGUGUGACGCCUGCCCGGUGCUUGAAGGUUAAUUGAUGGGGUUAGCGAUUCAUCGCGAAGCUCUUGAUCGAAGCCCAAGUAAACGGCGGCCGUAACUAUAACGGUCCUAAGGUAGCGAAAUUCCUUGUCGGUUAAAUACCGACCUGCAUGAAUGGCGUAACGAGAUGGGAGCUGUCUCAACCAGGGAUCCAGUGAAAUUGUAGUGGAGGUGAAAAUUCCUCCUACCCGCGGCAAGACGGAAAGACCCCGUGCACCUUUACUAUAGCUUGACACUGCAAUUGGGAUAUAUUUGUGCAGGAUAGGUGGGAGGCUUUGAUGCUGUGGCGCUAGCUGCAGCGGAGCCAUCCUUGAGAUACCACCCUUAUAUAUUCUGAUUGCUAACUUGCGCCAGUUAUCCUGGCGGAGGACAAUGUCUGGUGGGUAGUUUGACUGGGGCGGUCGCCUCCUAAAAAGUAACGGAGGCUUACAAAGGUUGGCUCAUGUCGGUUGGAAAUCGACAGCAGAGUAUAAUGGUACAAGCCAGCUUAACUGCGAGACGUACAUGUCGAGCAGAGACGAAAGUCGGUCAUAGUGAUCCGGUGGUUCUGUGUGGAAGGGCCAUCGCUCAAAGGAUAAAAGGUACGCCGGGGAUAACAGGCUGAUCU
rnacentral:rRNA from 1 species